rnacentral:rRNA from 1 species
UCCUCCCUCUUUCUUCGUGCUUAACACAUGCAAGUCGAACGGAAAGGCCCUGCUUGCAGGGUGCUCGUGUGGCGAACGGGUGAGUAACACGUGGGUGAUCUGCCCCUUACUUUGGGAUAAGCCUGGGAAACUGGGUCUAAUACUUGAUAGGACCAUGCUGUAGGUGGUGGGGUGGAAAGAUUUUUUCGGUAAGGGAUGAGCUCGCGGCCUAUCGGCUUGUUGGUGGGGUAGUGGCAUACCAAGGCGUCGACGGGUAGCCGGCCUGAGAGGGUGGACGGCGACAUUGGCACUGCGACAAGGGCCAGAAUCCUACGGGAGGCAGCCGUGAGGAGUGAAACACAAUCGGCGCAAGCCCGAUGCAGCGACGACGGGCUGGGGAUGGUGGACUUCGGGUUGUAAGCAAGUUCCAGCCAGGACGAAACCGCGCUUAUGGUGACGGUAGUUAUAGAAGAAGCACCGGCUAACUACGUG